ACCUCAAUGGUCCUUAUUUGUAUCACACGGUAUGUAUGGAUGUAAGACUCUUGUUAUUCGGUUUCUGUGUGUUUAGUGAGCAUUGAUCUCUGGGAUCACUGAGCAUGUACAUUCAGCGUUCUCGACCUGUAAGUCGGGGUCCCCACAGAGUUGGUAGCAGAGCCAUCCUGACUGUAGGAAGCCCUUAGUUAGCACGCACAUUAGUUAGGACAAAAGUGUUUUUCCACACCCUUUAGAAGCACUUACAAAACCUCUAUAU
rnacentral:lncRNA from 1 species